rnacentral:lncRNA from 10 species
CCUAGGGCCGUGUGAAGUCUUCCGCGGACCCACGGUGAAAUAAGAAAAGGAAGGCCUGGCUUGGCAUAGCUACUUUCCAUGUCAGCUGUUUUUUCUUUUUUUUUUUUUUUUUUUUUUUUUUUUUUGGAGGCAGAAUCUCACUCUGUCGCCCAGACUGGAGUGCAGUGGUGCGAUCCCAGCUCACUGCAAGCUCCACCUCCAGGGUUGAAGUGAUUCUCCUGCUUCAGCCUCCUGAGUAGCUGGGAUUACAGGUGCCUGCCACCACACCCAGCUAAUUUUGUAUUUUAGUAGAGACAGGGUUUUACCAUGCUAGCCAGGCUGAUCUCGAACUCCCGACCUCAGGUGAUCUGCCUACCUCGGCCUCCCAAAGUGCUGGGAUUACAGGCGUAAGCCACCACACCCGGCCUGUCCUUUCUUUUAUGAAAGAUGGUGAUACUAGGUGGACGUUUUAUUUUAGAUGCCAGAAAACUCUGGCAACCUAUGUCUAUCUUCCCACAGGCCCAAAGGCCUGGUGUCCAUAAGGCUGGGGUUCCCUGGAAAGUGGGGAGAAUCACUUGAACCCAGGAGGCGGAGGUUGCAGUCAGCAGAGAUCGCGCCAUUGCACUCAAGCCUGGGCGACAAAGCAAGACUCCAUCUCAGAAGUGUGGCAUUUGACAGGAGGCACAGGAAUGACUUCCCCCUAGGUGAAGUUUCCAAAAAUUCAGAGGCAAGGGCCCAAUGACAGCCUUGGUCAGAAAGGCCACUUGGAACCUCAGAGCCAGCCCAUUACAGCAGCCGAUCCCUUCCAGCAGGUGCCUGGAUUAAUCUUGGUUUGGAAUUUGACUGGGGCAUAGGUGACCAGGUGAGACAGCAGGAGGCGGGGUCUGUCUGGAGAGAGAUGACGUCUUUGGCUGGGUCCUCCAGAAGCCAAACUUGAGAUGGGGAUAUGUAGGCAUGGGAUUUAUGAAGUGCCCCUGGGAGAACCACUCAGGGAGGAGGGAGGGCAAGGCCAGGAAUGGGCAGGAGACGGACCAGAGGUUCCUUCUCAGACAAAACCCGCUGACCGCGCCGGGGGCUCUAGGAUACGAGUCACAUCUUGGAGGGCC